AGAGUUUGAUCCUGGCUCAGAGUGAACGCUGGCGGCAGGCCUAACACAUGCAAGUCGAGCGGCAGCGCGUCCGACCACCCUCGGGUGGUCGGAUGGCGGCGAGCGGCGGACGGGUGAGGAAUGCAUCGGAAUCUGCCUCGUUGUGGGGGAUAACGUAGGGAAACUUACGCUAAUACCGCAUACGACCUACGGGUGAAAGUGGGGGACCUUCGGGCCUCACGCGAUGAGAUGAGCCGAUGCCGGAUUAGCUAGUUGGCGGGGUAAAGGCCCACCAAGGCGACGAUCCGUAGCUGGUCUGAGAGGAUGAUCAGCCACACUGGAACUGAGACACGGUCCAGACUCCUACGGGAGGCAGCAGUGGGGAAUAUUGGACAAUGGGGGCAACCCUGAUCCAGCCAUGCCGCGUGUGUGAAGAAGGCCUUCGGGUUGUAAAGCACUUUUGUUGGGGAAGAAACCGGCCGGGUUAAUACCCUGGUUGAAUGACGGUACCCAAAGAAUAAGCACCGGCUAACUUCGUGCCAGCAGCCGCGGUAAUACGAAGGGUGCAAGCGUUACUCGGAAUUACUGGGCGUAAAGCGUGCGUAGGCGGUUUGUUAAGUCUGCUGUGAAAGCCCUGGGCUCAACCUGGGAACUGCAGUGGAUACUGGCGAGCUAGAGUGUGUCAGAGGAUGGUGGAAUUCCCGGUGUAGCGGUGAAAUGCGUAGAGAUCGGGAGGAACACCAGUGGCGAAGGCGGCCAUCUGGGACAACACUGACGCUGAGGCACGAAAGCGUGGGGAGCAAACAGGAUUAGAUGCCCUGGUAGUCCACGCCCUAAACGAUGCGAACUGGACGUUGGGCACACUUAGGUGCUCAGUGUCGAAGCUAACGCGUUAAGUUCGCCGCCUGGGGAGUACGGUCGCAAGACUGAAACUCAAAGGAAUUGACGGGGGCCCGCACAAGCGGUGGAGUAUGUGGUUUAAUUCGAUGAUACGCGAGGAACCUUACCUGGGCUAGAAUGCUGGGAGACCGUGAGUGAAAGCUCAUUUUGUAGCAAUACACUGCCAGUAAGGUGCUGCAUGGCUGUCGUCAGCUCGUGCCGUGAGGUGUUGGGUUAAGUCCCGCAACGAGCGCAACCCCCAUCACUAGUUGCCAUCAGGUAACGCUGGGAACUCUAGUGAAACUGCCGUCGUAAGACGUGAGGAAGGAGGGGAUGAUGUCAAGUCAUCAUGGCCUUUAUGCCCAGGGCUACACACGUGCUACAAUGGGGCGUACAAAGGGCUGCAACAUAGCAAUAUGAAGCUAAUCCCAAAAAACGCCUCUCAGUUCAGAUUGGAGUCUGCAACUCGACUCCAUGAAGCUGGAAUCGCUAGUAAUCGUAUAUCAGCAAUGAUACGGUGAAUACGUUCCCGGACCUUGCACACACCGCCCGUCAAGCCAUGGAAGCCGGGUGUACCUAAAGUCGGUAACCGAAAGGAGCCGCCUAGGGUAAAACUGGUGACUGGGGCUAAGUCGUAACAAGGUAACC
rnacentral:rRNA from 1 species